rnacentral:rRNA from 1 species
CCUACGGGUGGCAGCAGUGAGGAAUAUUGGUCAAUGGGCGUAAGCCUGAACCAGCCAAGUCGCGUGAGGGAUGAAGGUUCUAUGGAUCGUACACCUCUUUUAUAAGGGAAUAAAGUGUGGGACGUGUCCUAUUUGUAUGUACCUUAUGAAUAAGGAUCGGCUAACUCCGUGCCAGCUGCCGCGGUAAUAAGGAGGCGCCGAGCGUUAUCCGGAUUUAUUGGUUUUAAAGGGUGCGUAGGCGGCCUUUUAAGUCAGCGGUGAAAGUCUUGGGCUCACCCAUAGAAUUGCCGUUGAAACUGGGGGGCUUGAGUAUGUUUGAGGCAGGCGGAAUGCGUGGGGGAGCGGUGAAAUGCUUAGAUAUCACGCAGAACCCCGAUUGCGAAGGCAGCCUGCCAAGCCAUGACUGACGCUGAUGCACGAAAGCGUGGGGAUCAAACAGGAUUAGAUACCCUUGUAGUC